UGCUGCUGGGAACACUGGUCCAUUGCCUCCGUUGGUGGUGCAACCGAAGCUGAACCACCCGUUUGAUCUGUCAGCGCGAGAUGACUGGCAAGAAUGAGAUAGAUCGAAGACAGCCUAAUGAGCGAACGUUCCUAUACCGCUAAAAGUGUCGAGAUAAAGUUAAAGUUAUUAAAUUACCUUUGUUAAUUGGAAAAUCCUAGUUGAAUUUGCUACUACUAGUUUACAAAAUUCCAAAAAGAGGUUAGAAGUCCUAAAGCCUAAGAUCUAAUAUCGUGCAAUUAAAAUCACUAUUAAUCACGAAGUAAGAGGUAGUUGUCAUGCAUUAGGACAGCCAAGUAAUUAAAGUUUCAAUUACAGUUCGAACUUAGCUUGGUUGCGUUGGGAGUGCAGUUUAGAGUUAGAUCUAAAGUGAUUGGAACACCGAAAGUGUAAGAUGCGUAUGUUACAUGAACUGUGAAUCAAAACUAAUAAAUGAUUAUUUUUUGUAGUUUAAAGCUA